rnacentral:rRNA from 1 species
AGAGUUUGAUCAGUGGCUCAGGACGAACGCUGGCGGCGUGCUUAACACAUGCAAGUCGAACGGGGCGAUUUUAAGCUUGCUUAGAUGAGCCUAGUGGCAAACGGGUGAGUAACGCGUAGGCAACCUGCCUCUAAGAUGGGGACAACAGCCCGAAAGGGCUGCUAAUACCGAAUGUUAUGAGUUUUCCGCAUGGAGAAUUCAUUAAAGAUGGCCUCUACUUGUAAGCUAUCACUUAGAGAUGGGCCUGCGUCUGAUUAGCUAGUUGGUGGGGUAACGGCUCACCAAGGCGACGAUCAGUAGCCGGUCUGAGAGGAUGAACGGCCACAUUGGGACUGAGACACGGCCCAGACUCC